rnacentral:misc_RNA from 1 species
AACGCACCUUGCGCUCCUUGGUAUUCCGAGGAGCAUGCCUGUUUGAGUGUCAUUAAAUUAUCAACCCUUGUUAACUUUUUAGUUAGUAAGUGGAUUGGAAGUGGGGGCAUGUUGGUUUCUUCAUUGAAAUGAACUCCCCUGAAAUGCAUUAGCUGGUUGCCUUGUGCAAACAUGUCUAUUGGUGUGAUAAUUAUCUACGCCGUGGGCUAUUUGCCGUUUAUAGCACUGCUUAUAAUCGUCUGUUCAUUCAGACAAUACAUGACAAUUUGACCUCAAAUCAGGUAGGACUACCCGCUGAACUUAA